UUGGAAACUGAGGACAAUUGGCUGAGGUCACUUCCCAGUGUUGCCUGAAGGCCUAGGAACAAAUGGGAGUAAUCGCCCUACCCAGAAGGGGAAAGGACUUUUUAAAAAUCUUUUCCACACCUGGUCCCUGAUUCCUACGUGUGGUGCAGUUUGGAGCAAACUACCUGUUUCAGGUGACUCAAACUUUCUUUUCUUAUGCUAAAUUCUUCACUUCCCCUAUUCAACUGGCUAAGGGCAAAGGAAAACCACCAAGCCUCCAGUUCCUGUCAUUAAAGUUUAUGGAAUGGGAUAAGUUAUGGAAUGGGAUUUGAUAAGCGUGGCCUUAUCAAAUUAUAAGGAUGCUAAAAGUCGAGUUUUACACCCAGGAAACAGCUCACAGUAGGCUCUGGAGGGAAUGCAUGCAAAGUGGCACCGGUGCCCGCCUAAGGCCAAGAGACAUCUGGAACUCUUAAGAUUGAACCCCACAGGAGGACACUCGGAGGGGAUCAUCUGGAACUCAAACUUUCCAAAGAAGAUGCUCUCUGCAGAGAGACCAUCGAGCUUCAGAUGAUCACUCAACAAAGGCUCCAGCAAGUUCCAGGUGAAGACACCACCCCUGGCCAUCAAGGAGCUACCCUGCCUCCACUAGACACAGCAGG